rnacentral:rRNA from 1 species
GACAGAGGGUGCAAACGUUGUUCGGAUUUACUGGGCGUAAAGCGCGUGUAGGCGGCUUUGCAAGUCGGAUGUGAAAGCCCACGGCUCAACCGUGGAAGUGCAUCCGAAACUGCAUGGCUCGAGUCUCGGAGAGGAAGGUGGAAUGCUUGGUGUAGAGGUGAAAUUCGUAGAUAUCAAGCAGAACACCUGCGGCGAAGGCGGCCUUCUGGACAAUGACUGACGCUGAGACGCGAAAGCGUGGGGAGCAAACAGG